rnacentral:misc_RNA from 1 species
GGAUGUGGGGGUUUGCUGGCCUCUUAAUCUUAAGAGUUCAGCUCUCCUGAAAUGCAUUAGCAGAACAACCUUAUGUUCAUUGGUGUGAUAACUAUCUACGCUAUUGAAUGUUGAGGGGGAAGUUCAGCUUUCUAACGGUCCCUUGGACAACUCAUCAUUAAUGUGACCUCAAAUCAGGUAGGACUACCCGCUGAACUUAA